CCUACGGGUGGCUGCAGUGGGGAAUAUUGGACAAUGGGCGAAAGCCUGAUCCAGCCAUGCCGCGUGUGUGAAGAAGGCCUUCGGGUUGUAAAGCACUUUCAGUGGGGAAGAAAGCCUUGGGGCUAAUACCCUCGAGGAAGGACAGCACCCACAGAAUAAGCACCGGCUAACUCCGUGCCAGCAGCCGCGGUAAUACGGAGGGUGCGAGCGUUAAUCGGAAUUACUGGGCGUAAAGCGCGCGUAGGCGGUCUGAUAAGCCGGUUGUGAAAGCCCCGGGCUCAACCUGGGAACGGCAUCCGGAACUGUCAGGCUAGAGUGCAGGAGAGGAAGGUAGAAUUCCCGGUGUAGCGGUGAAAUGCGUAGAGAUCGGGAGGAAUACCAGUGGCGAAGGCGGCCUUCUGGACUGACACUGACGCUGAGGUGCGAAAGCGUGGGUAGCAAACAGGAUUAGAUACCCUAGUAGUC
rnacentral:rRNA from 1 species